UUUUUGUCAAACAAAAUUUAAAUAUCAGCCACGUUUACUCAAGAUGAUGUUUUUCAUUUAGCAGAAGUAAAAUCCUGUCCAAAUAUCCACUACUGUCCUAACUUUAUUGUGUUUGCACUGUAUAAUCCUGACCUUCACAUUUUUCAAGAUUAUUUACAUUGUAUAACCGCCAUCUUGGUUUCUAUGAGGAUCCCUUAUUCCAUAACAUUCGUUACUCUCCGGUAAUAUGAUUGUCAUUGAUGAUACAAU
rnacentral:lncRNA from 1 species